AAGGUACGAGGUCAUGAGGGUUUGAUGUGAGGAGAGGGUGGUCAGAAACCGGAUCAAACCGGUGUCGGUUAAGGAGGGUAAACGUUAGAGCUUUUAACCAUGUUGUACCGGAUUUUGGUAUGGUAGCAAGGAUAACAUCUUUUGGAAGAGGCUUGAAAUGUUUCUGGAAGGACAUGAUGGCAUGAAUCUCCUUGGCUUGGCACCAAAAGCCUUGGAACAGGUAAAGAUGACGAGUUCUCCAACCUCUCUCCUUAGGAAGAGAGUCCAACAUCUCUAAGAACUCGUAGCUUAGCCCUUCUUCUUCUUCUUCUUGGCGCUUCGGGUCUCGGCUUUUGCCUUCUUC
rnacentral:lncRNA from 1 species